rnacentral:rRNA from 1 species
GACGAACGCUGGCGGCGUGCUUAACACAUGCAAGUCGAACGGAAAGGCCCUGCUUUUGUGGGGUGCUCGAGUGGCGAACGGGUGAGUAACACGUGAGUAACCUGCCCUUGACUUUGGGAUAUCUUCAGGAAACUGGGGCUAAUAACGGAUAGGAGCUCCUGCUGCAUGGUGGGGGUUGGAUAGUUUCGGCGGUUGGGGAUGGACUCGCGGCUUAUCAGCUUGUUGGUGGGGUAGUGGCUUACCAAGGCUUUGACGGGUAGCCGGCCUGAGAGGGUGACCGGCCACAUUGGGACUGAGAUACGGCCCAGACUCCUACGGGAGGCAGCAGUGGGGAAUAUUGCACAAUGGGCGGAAGCCUGAUGCAGCAACGCCGCGUGCGGGAUGACGGCCUUCGGGUUGUAAACCGCUUUCGCCUGUGACGAAGCGUGAGUGACGGUAAUGGGUAAAGAAGCACCGGCUAACUACGUG